AACGGCCAAACUCAAGAAUCGAAGAUCCUGUGGGCAACCCUAACAGCGGUGGACUCGAACGGUGCAUUUUGAUCUCAAUUUCGCCGAAAUCGCAUGGAUUUCGCCCUUUCUCCCAUAAAUUUCGCCUAAAUAGGCAAUGCCGGGAUUAAUGUCGAAUUUUGCUAGUGCUGUGAGGAAGUUUUGCUAUGCUCUUGGAUUAUGCAUGUUUGGCCGAGCUCCUGCUUCUGCUUUCAACUGCGGCAGCAAAAAUGAGAUCUUGAAGCUCAAAAACUUGAAGCUUGUGAUUCUGCUGCAGACAAAAGCUGUUGUGGGGAUGAGAAUGGCGUUCUUGUAAAAUGUCUCAUGGCUUGAUGCUAGAUCUCGAGCCGAGUACCAGUACAGCAGUACUGCAGUGAUGUAAUUACAAUGGACACUACUUUAUUUGAUGAGCAAAUCCAAUGUGCCCUUGGUUUCAUUUCAUUUAUUGGAGCUAACCACCAUGGGCAACAUGUGUUGCUAGGUUGCGGUGGUCUUGGUGACGGGACUACUUUACAAAGUGGAUAAGGUGCAUGAAUAACAACAAGCCUCCGGAUUGUGUAACCACUGAUCGCGAUGAAUCGAUAAGCGCAGCAGUUAUGAAGGUGUUUCCGAAUGCUAGAAUUUGAUUUUGCCGUCAGCAAAUCGCGAGGAAAUUACCCGAGAAACUGGAAAUUUUGGAAAAUAAGGAGGAGAUAACUAUUAGAUUAUGUAACGCUCUCUUUAAUUCCCUAACUAUUAAUGACUUUGAGAUGGAGUGGGAGGUGAUGAUAGAGAGAUGCCAACUUCAAGAUAAUGCUUGGUUUUCUUCCUUGUACCAAUUAGAUAAGAAGCACCGGGCCCCUGUUCAUAUUAAGGACACUUUUUGGGCCAGUGUGUCUUCCACCGGACAAAGUGAGAUGAUCACUUGACUUCUAAGACUUCACUUAACAAGUUUCUAGAACAAUAUGAUCGUCUUCUUAGAGAAAAGCGGGAGAAAGAGUCCCAAGAGGAUCUCCGGUCUUUCCAUGCGUCACCUCAGUGAAUUCCCGGAUUCAAAUUUGAGAAACAAAUGCUAAUCCAUAUACUAGCAACAUGUUUCAAAAAUACCAAGAUGAGGUGAGAGUUUUGUUUGAUUCAGUGUAUAUGUAGAAAAAUUGAAAGGAAUGCUCGAAUUGCCGGGUACAUGGUGAUUUAACUCUUAGACGACAAGCAGCUUUCAUUUAAAGUCGCUACGAUUCAAUUGAGCUGGAGGUUAAGUGUAUUUGGCGCUCGUUUGAAUUUAGAGGUAUAUUAUGCACGCAUGCACUGCGUGUCCUUCGUCAAGAAUUUGUGAUGAUUUUGCCACCUAACUUCGUACUGCCACGUCGGAGAAAGGAUUUCAAAUGAUUGCAUGCUUCCACUUUGAUUCCAGACACGGCAUCAUUUCCUAUUUCCUAAGAGGGAAAAUUACGAUGAACUCAUCAUGUGUGGUCAGCAAUACCUUUGGACAUUGCUUUGGUUGGCGCAUUUGAUUGUGAUCUGAAAGAGUAUGCUCUUGGGGCUUUGAAGAAAGCGAGGGAGAAAGUGUUGAAGUUUGAGUUCUCACACGGUGAUCAAUCGGUUAGUGAUGAUAGCGCGCCAAACGCCAUUAUAGCAAGCAAUAUGUGCAUUCAACCACUGAUAGAACUGCAGAAUGAUUCAAUUUGUCCGGCUUCUGCAACCCGGGAUGUCAGCUUUUCACAGCCCAAUCGAAAAGGAUCAAAGAACAAGAGGAUUGUUAGCCCGAGGGAAAGAGCUGGUGGGAUCUGACCCCUCAUCUUGGUCACUAUAUAAUACACCUUAUUUCUGUUGGAAUGAAGCUGGUGGCCAAGAUACAUCAAGGCGAACAUGACGAUAUAUACCUUUUAGUUGUUCUGGCAUGUAUUCAGUUGUUUCAAGCAGCAGUGAAGGGAAAAAAAUAUCCAUUCAUUUACUCUUCCGUCCUGAGGCGAAGAGCGAAAAUGAAGCAAGCUAACAAAGCAAAAGGAUUAGAAAAAGCUCCGCUUUUUGAACAUGGACUGCUGAGUUGUUAGAGACAUCAGUAUAAUUGGAAAAUUGAAGAUGGAAAAAUCUUGUGGUGGAAUUGUUUCACGACUUGAUAAUGCUAAAUAAAUUCAUGGUCUUAUCUCAUUUAUUAAUUCUGGAGAGAAGCGAAACAUCCGAGUCAGAAAUGGAAGAUCUAUGUGUCCGAAGGAAACACGAAAUAAAUAUGAUGAGCUUAUUAAUACCAAGUUACCAGUCUUCAUGCUGUGUUUUUUUUUUUUUUUUUUUUACCGUACCCUAGCUUUAGAAUUGUUGAAUGAGCGAUGUAUGCUGUUCCUCAUGCCGUGAUGAGAUGUGCUCUGUUAAAAUGGCAAAGUGGCAACAUACAUUGGAAUAUCAUCUGAAUUUCUUGCAAAAUUCGUCCCUUUUUCUCGUGAAAGAAUGAUGAGUAAAGAUUUGGCGAUACAGGGGGUGAUUUCGCGAGUGUAAUCAUUUUAUUUUUUAGUUUGUUGGCGUAUAAUUUAUGAUGCUAACGACUUUUACGUAAGUGGGGGAUGACUACAGAAGAUAUACUGAUUAGUUUUCAGAUGUGAAAUUGCACAAGGAAGCCCAAAUGU